rnacentral:rRNA from 1 species
AAUGAACGUUGGCGGCGUGGAUUAGGCAUGCAAGUCGAGCGAGAACCGGUUUCGGCCGGGGACAGCGGCGAACGGCGUAGUAAUGCAUCGGAACGUACCCUCUGGUCGGGGAUAGCUACGGGAAACUGUAGGUAAUACCCGAUGAUCUCUGCGGAGCAAAGGUGAGAUUCCGCCGGAGGAGCGGCUGAUGUGAUAUUAGCUAGUUGGUGGGGUAAUGGCCUACCAAGGCGAUGAUGUCUAGGGGGUGUGAGAGCAUGGCCCCCACGACCGGAACUGAGAUACUGUCCGGACACCUACGGGUGGCUGCAGUCGAGAAUCUACCGCAAUGGACGAAAGUCUGACGGAGCGACGCCGCGUGCGGGAUGAAGGCCCUUGGGUUGUAAACCGCUGUCAGAGGGGAUGAAAUCUUCGGAGGUACUCCUCCGAAGUUGACAGAGCCUCAAAGGAAGCACGGGCUAAGUACGUGCCAGCAGCCGCGGUAACAC